rnacentral:pre_miRNA from 14 species
UAUUACCUUUGAAAGACCCCCGGAGCCGGGAGACCCUCACUCAAGUCUCAGGAUGAUGCGACCCCCCAAGAAGUCACAUGAGACC